rnacentral:sRNA from 1 species
UCUGCCUCUCACCCUUCAUAUCCAUAAACACCUGUGCACAGUCGCGACCCUUGAGUCUUUCGGGACUCCGUGGUGUCUUGACGAUCUUAUCAAACAACAAUGUAACCAAUGUAAUCAUUAUUAUAACAUAAUAAAACUUUUAACAACGGAUCUCUUGGCUCUCGCAUCGAUGAAGAACGCAGCGAAAUGCGAUAAGUAAUGUGAAUUGCAGAAUUCAGUGAAUCAUCGAAUCUUUGAACGCACCUUGCACUCUUUGGUAUUCCGAAGAGUAUGCCUGUUUGAGUGUCAUGAAAUCUUCAACCAUUCUGUUGGGUGUUUACGCCUGGCGGUUUGGAUUGGACUUGGGUGUUUGUCGGACAAGCAAUUGUCUGACUCACCUUAAAAGGAUCAGUGGAUCUAUUGUCUUGGACUUUUGCAUUGCAAUUGGUUUUGACUUGGCGUAAUAAGUAUUUCGCUAAGGACAGUGCUUCGGUGCUGGCCAUUGCUUUUUCAACCGGACUUUUGGNAAAUCGCUUUUCUAACCCUAAUUUUAUUUGACAUCUGGCCUCAAAUCAGGUAGGACUACCCGCUGAACUUAAGCU